rnacentral:lncRNA from 1 species
AAUAGACUACAUAAAUCUUCUUUCAACAUGUUAAGUUAAUUAUCCCAUUCGUAAAAUCGUUUAUUUUUAUUUUUUAUUUUUAAUCAAAGAUCUUACGGACUUUAAGUUUAUAAAUUCUCUAGGUCGAAGAUCAGAGAAAGUAACUUGUCACUAAUACUCAAAAUUACACACAUAAUGGAAGGAACCCUAAUUAAGUGUAAGUUACACUUGUUAAUAUAAUACAAAGCAUCUAAAAAGAAGCAAGAUAGUACUUUGUCAACAAUGAAUUAAAUGUGGAAAGCCACAUCUAGCGAAUCAUUGUCUCUUGAUAAAGAAUCUUUCAUGAAUAGUUUGCAGCUUCAAGAUGGUCCUUGAUGGACUUGUGAUCCUCACUUAAACACACAGAGGAAAGAACAAGUAACUAAAAGAGAAUGGAUUUUAUACUUUUAAGGACAAUCCGAGACAUGGCUAGCUCUAUGGUCCUGCUGCUUUGAACAUUACGUUUUGAGAAGUUUUACAAUAAAUAUGUGUAUAAAAAAUAUAAAUGUAAGAAAAAUAGUUAGUAAUGGUCCCCCAUUUAUAGAUGUAAUGUAAUGGCGAUAGGCCUCUCCUGGGGCAUCCACAUCAAAAAAAAUUCAAAUUGUUUUUUGUACCCUAGGGUUUUGCAAAUGGGACAUGCAAGUGUUGCUAUCACAUAACUAAUUAUUAGGGUCCUUU